GCCGGUGUAGCUCAAUGGUUAGAGCAAUGGCAUCAUAAGCCAGAGGUUAUAGGUUCGAAUCCCAUCACCGGCA
rnacentral:tRNA from 1 species